AACUUUCCCUCUUAUACAAAAUCUCGCACAACUCACAAAGUAAAUAAAAACUCUCACUUCAAGACCAUCUAGAAGCUAAAGGAGAGCUGAAUCCAAUAAUUGGGAGGUGGUUCGACCGCAGCUCAUGUUCUUUCUGUUUACGACCUAUGGAGGGAAAUUGUCAGUGGUAAGAAAAAUGACAAGGUUUACUGGUUAGUGUCUCAGGUGCCAAUCUAUAAUGCUCGUCUCUCGAGCUCAUCUAGUGCAUCGACUUCUACUGGAUUGAAAGUGGAGCUUCAUAAGCAUGUUGCUACUAAGGGAUUAAAAGAGCCAGCUCAAGAUGAUGUUGAUGGGGAUGAUGAUGAUAAGAAGAUGGAGGAGAAUGAGUGGGGAGUUUUUUUUUGUU